rnacentral:rRNA from 1 species
UACGUAGGGGGCUAGCGUUGUCCGGAAUCGAUUGGGCGUAAAGAGCGUGUAGGCGGUCCGGUAAGUCCGUUGUGAAAGUCAAGGGCUCAACCCUUGAAUGCCGGCGGAUACUGUCGGGCUACGGAAGUCCGGAAGAGGCAAGGUGGAAUUCCUGGUGUAGCGGUGAAAUGCGCAGAUAUCAGGAGGAACACCAAUUGCGAAGGCAGCUCGCUGGGACGUUACUGACGCUGAGACGCGAAAGCGUGGGGAGCAAACAGG